UGGAAAGUGCUGGACCUUGGGAGAAGGAAUCACCGGCACGCUUGCAGGCUGGGGGAGGACCUUCUCAGCAGCACGGCAGCAGAAAGCGAUCUUGGAGUCAUAGUUAACUCCA